rnacentral:tRNA from 1 species
GCCAGCGUGGUGUAGUGGUUUGACCAUUGGACUACAACUCUGGAGAUCAGGGUUCAAGUCCCUGCUCAGUUA